AUUGGUUUGUUAUAUAUUUGUUUUUGCUGGAGAAAAAGUGGGAUUGUUGGAUCUUAAUAAAAUUCAUGAAUAGUGGUACAAUAUGAAUGAUACAUGGGUAACGUGAGUGCUUUUUGUAGUGAAUAAUAAUUAGUAGUGCAAUGUGUAUGAUACUACAUCUGUGUAGGUUAGUUCUACCUCUCUGAUCAAUGUUGGCCUAUUUUGGGAUUGGCAUACAUAGUUGUUGGAGAAGGAAUCCUAAAAGGAUAUAGUAUAAUUGGAACAAUUUUUUCUUUAUUUUUUUAAGUUUGUGUAAUUUGUUCAGCAUUAUAGACACUUGAAUUCCUUUGAUUUUUCUUUUCUUUUUUUUGUGGUUUGACCAUGAUUCGAGUUGUAAAUCCAUUAAACUUUCAGAAAGUCAUUGGUAUAUUAAUGAUGUAAUAGAGAUUUCAAAAUGGUAUAAUUUUGGUGGAAAUGUGAUACAAUUUUAAUUUUAAUUUUGGGUGUUGUCUAUGGAGUUCAAUUUGGGCGUUUAACACUAGUAUAGUUGAAAUAUCAUAUAUAAUAAGUGAAGAGUACUAAAUAAGUGUUGUUAGUGAGAUAUGUAAACAUUCUUGGUCUUUGUUAGCUGUUUGUAUAGUUGUUAUAAUUUAGUUGAAGUUGAUAUUAAGUUACCAUGUGUUGUCUGAAUAUGUAUGGUUUAAUAUUUUGUAUUUGUAUUAUUGUUUUGUAUAAAUCAUUUGUUAUGGUUGUUUUAGGUUAGGAAUAUCAUUACUUGGUUACCAAGUAAUGAUUUUGUUUUGAAAAGUGAAUUUUGAUACCUUGAUACUGUUGGUGAAUAAAUCGAACUCAGUCUUAGUUUAUGUUAGCAUGUAGUAGAAUAAAUAUAUCAUUUAUUUUUAAUGGUUAAUGUUGUCUUUUUGUUUUUGAUCCUUUGAAUAAAUUUUUUUGACUGUUUUUAUGUCAUGGUUGUAGGUAAAUAUGGAUAGAGCAAAGUUAUGUGAAAUUUUGUCGUCGUUGCGUGCUCACGAGCGCGAAUUUGAAGAUUUUAAGCGCCAGGUUGCUGGUAUUAGACAUGAUGUGUCUCAUUGGAAUUAAUGGACAAUGCAUUUAGUGAGUUAUUGAAGGCUAUGCAUGGGGAUGAUGUAUAUUUUUGUGAUUUCAAUAUUGUUGAGCCCACCUCACACAAAAAAGAGUGUAUGGAUUAUGAUUGUGGUGUGUAUGUGAUGAAGAUGCUCUUGCAUGAAUAUGUGGGUGGAGUUUUUGGCUCUUCCAAAGUUGACGUUCUUCAGGAAUUGGAUUUCAGAUGCAUAAGUAUCGGCCCAACUAAUGUGCCAACGGAGUUUGAUAGACAAAUUAUAGGUGCAAUAAUUUUGACUUCUAGGAGUAACAAAGUCAGACAUACACUCCUUCAUAAAGCUCAACAACUUUAUUGACACCCUCCAUCGAUGAUGUUGGAAGAUUUUGAAUCAAUUGUUGAUCAUUCUUCUCUACAAUUAUGGGCAUGAAAGGCUAUGACUAGUGUAUUUUGUUUUUGUAAAGUUUGAAUGCAUUUUUCAUUGUCGACAUUUCAAUAAUUAUAAUUUUUUUAUCUAAAUUUAGUGAACUAGUUAGUAAUUUUUGG